rnacentral:rRNA from 1 species
CCGCUGCCCUGUGACUAUAUGUUUAACGGCCGCGGUAUUUUGACCGUGCGAAGGUAGCGCAAUCACUUGUCUUUUAAAUGGAGACCUGUAUGAAUGGCAUAACGAGGGCUUGACUGUCUCCUUUUUCAGGUCAAUGAAGUUGAUCUCCCCGUGCAGAAGCGGGGAUGUAAACAUAAGACGAGAAGACCCUAUGGAGCUUUAGACACCAAGGCAGAUUAUGUUAAAGACCCCUGCUCAAAGGGCCAAACAGAAUAGACCCUGCCCUUAUGUCUUUGGUUGGGGCGACCGCGGGGAAAAACACAACCCCCAUGUGGACUGGGAACACCCGUCCUAGAACUAAGAGCUCCCGCUCUAGGUACCAGAAUUUCUGACCAAAUGGAUCCGGCAAAGCCGAUCAACGGACCGAGUUACCCUAGGGAUAACAGCGCAAUCCCCUUUUAGAGCCCAUAUCGACAAGGGGGUUUACGACCUCGAUGUUGGAUCAGGACAUCCUAAUGGUGCAGCCGCUAUUAAGGGUUCGUUUGUUCAACGAUUAAAGUCCUACGUGAUCUGAGUUCAGA